ACUUCAGCAAGACAAUGAUGCAAGGAGGUCCAGAGAACUGUUCCUUAGUGAAAAUGGUGAAAAUUAUAAAAGGAAAACUAUUUAACAUCUCUGGAAAUGGUCUUGGAGGCAAACAGCAAAUGAAGAAACAUUUAUCCAAAAGAAUCUACCAAAGGAAUAUUUAACUCAACUGGAUUAUUGUCCUUGGAAGAAAUUUGGUGCAAAUUCUACAUUAUUGGAGAAGAAACUGAAGUCCCCAGAAAAGUGCAUCACAGUGUGGCCUUGAUGGAAUGAGAAAUGACAGUCUGGCCAAGUGAAAGCAUGAAACUUGGAGAAAGAUGAUUGUGCUCAGCA